ACGGGUGAGUAAUGUGUCGGGAUCUGCCUUUUAGAGGGGGAUAACUUGAGGAAACUUAAGCUAAUACCGCGUAAUGCCUGAGGGUGAAAGCAGGGGAGGGGUAAAACCCGCCUUGCGCUACAAGAUGAACCGACACCGGAUUAGCUGGUUGGUAGGGUAAAGGCCUACCAAGGCGAAGAUCCGUAGCUGGUCUGAGAGGAUGACCAGCCACACUGGGACUGAGACACGGCCCAGACUCCUACGGGAGGCAGCAGUGGGGAAUAUUGGACAAUGGGGGCAACCCUGAUCCAGCGAUGCCGCGUGUGUGAAGAAGGCCUGCGGGUUGUAAAGCACUUUAGUUGGGGAGGAAGUGAUUACCGUGAAUAACGGUGAUUGUUGACGUUACCCAAAGAAUAAGCACCGGCUAACUCUGUGCCAGCAGCCGCGGUAAUACAGAGGGUGCGAGCGUUAAUCGGAAUUACUGGGCGUAAAGGGUGAGUAGGUGGUUUGGUGUGUGGUAUGUGAAAGCCCUGGGCUUAACCUGGGAAUGGCAUAUGAUACUAU
rnacentral:rRNA from 1 species